rnacentral:rRNA from 1 species
UACGUAGGUGGCAAGCGUUGUCCGGAAUUAUUGGGCGUAAAGCGCGCGCAGGCGGUCUUUUAAGUCUGAUGUGAAAGCCCACGGCUCAACCGUGGAGGGUCAUUGGAAACUGGGAGACUUGAGUGCAGAAGAGAAGAGCGGAAUUCCACGUGUAGCGGUGAAAUGCGUAGAGAUCGGGAGGAACACCUGUGGCGAAGGCGGCCACCUGGGCCGACCCUGACGCUGAGGCGCGAAGGCGUGGGGAGCGAACGGG